rnacentral:rRNA from 1 species
GUAGUCAUAUGCUUGUCUCAAAGAUUAAGCCAUGCAUGUCUAAGUAUAAGCAAUUAUACAGCGAAACUGCGAAUGGCUCAUUAUAUAAGUUAUCGUUUAUUUGAUAGUACCUUACUACUUGGAUAACCGUGGUAAUUCUAGAGCUAAUACAUGCUAAAAAUCCCGACUUCGGAAGGGAUGUAUUUAUUAGAUUAAAAACCAAUGCCCUCUGGGCUCCUUGGUGAUUCAUAAUAACUUUUCGAAUCGCACGGCCUUGCGCCGGCGAUGGUUCAUUCAAAUUUCUUCCCUAUCAACUUUCGAUGUUUGGGUCUUGGCCAAACAUGGUCGCAACGGGUAACGGAGGGUUAGGGCUCGACCCCGGAGAAGGAGCCUGAGAAACGGCUACUACAUCCAAGGAAGGCAGCAGGCGCGCAAAUUACCCAAUCCCGAUUCGGGGAGGUAGUGACAAUAAAUACUGAUACAGGGCUCUUUUGGGUCUUGUAAUUGGAAUGAGUACAAUUUAAAUCUCUUAACGAGGAACAAUUGGAGGGCAAGUCUGGUGCCAGCAGCCGCGGUAAUUCCAGCUCCAAUAGCGUAUAUUAAAGUUGUUGUGGUUAAAAAGCUCGUAGUUGAACCUUGGGCCUGGCUGGCCGGUCCGCCUCACCGCGUGCACUGGUCCGGCCGGGCCUUUCCCUCUGUGGAACCCCAUGCUCUUCACUGAGUGUGGCGGUGAAACAGGACUUUUACUUUGAAAAAAUUAGAGUGCUCCAGGCAGGCCUAUGCUCGAAUACAUUAGCAUGGAAUAAUAAAAUAGGACGCGUGGUUCUAUUUUGUUGGUUUCUAGGACCGCCGUAAUGAUUAAUAGGGACAGUCGGGGGCAUCAGUAUUCAAUUGUCAGAGGUGAAAUUCUUGGAUUUAUUGAAGACUAACUACUGCGAAAGCAUUUGCCAAGGAUGUUUUCAUUAAUCAGGAACGAAAGUUAGGGGAUCGAAGACGAUCAGAUACCGUCGUAGUCUUAACCAUAAACUAUGCCGACUAGGGAUCGGACGAUGUUAUUUUUUGACGCGUUCGGCACCUUACGAGAAAUCAAAGUGCUUGGGCUCCAGGGGGAGUAUGGUCGCAAGGCUGAAACUUAAAGAAAUUGACGGAAGGGCACCACCAGGGGUAAACCGCUUCGCGCAGCCGCAGUAGCUCUGCCCCAGAAAGCAGCCCAAAAGGGUCAGUGGUGUUCCUGCCAGCGCUCCGGCGCGGCGAACUAAUUGCUAGUCUCCUCUGGAGGCGACACCCUCAAAUUGCGGGAAAAUCCUAAAGCCAGUGUCACCAAGCCGGCGCCGAAAGGGCGUCGGUGGCCGGGGUAGCGACCUAGGGUACGGUAAAAGCACACUGGAUAAUGCAAUGGACGAUCCGCAGCCAAGCCUCGUCGC